rnacentral:tRNA from 1 species
UAUGUUUUAAUAUAAAGUGUAUAAUAAUUUUUGAAAUUAUAAGAAAUAGUUAAAUUCUAUUAAACAUAG